UUUCUUACUAAUAACAUAUUUUUUAGACAAGAAUGAUCAAAUUAAAUUUUUGAAUCGGCUUAUUUGGCUGUAUGAGUUUAUUCCUGUGUCUCAACAUGUGUAGAGUUUACAAAAAAAAGUCAUAACAUAAAACAACCAGCCGACGGCCGGUUACACUUACUUAUUAAACCUAUACAAAAAGAAAUAAAUCAAUCAGCUGAAGCUGAAAAUCCAUAUUGUGUUUUAAGUGCUCGGCGCUCUUAAGUUUGUGGGACGAAGUUACCAAAAAUGAAGUUUAAAGUUGCUACAAUAUUCACGGCACAACAACGUUGUUUCUUCUUUGUUUACACUCCGAAAUUAAGUAUUGGGCAGAAAAGAAGUCUGCCUUGAAGAAGCUGUGCAACGGGCUCAGUCCAUGAGGCGCACUGGCGGUAGCUUAGAUAUGGUGCUAGGGCUGUCACUACUUUUUAUUUAUUUGUGGCAGUCAGUGGCAGUCAUGGGUGGUGGGUGACUCUCUUGCCACAGGUACCAGGGGAAUAGCUGUAGACCCCUUUCCACAAAGUAAUUCUCGCCCUUCUAAAUUAAUAGACCUGCCAUCCACAUCACAGGCUGCCACUGAAACCCUGGAAAUAGAGCAAGAAAUUCAUAUUCAUAAUCCACAGCCUCCUGUGGAGGCAGGGCUGCAGGUAGAACACAGCGAGCAGCA